AAAAUCCGUCGACUUUAUAAAUCGUGAGGGUCAAUCCCUCUUC
rnacentral:tRNA from 1 species